rnacentral:rRNA from 1 species
GACGAACGCUGGCGGCGUGCUUAACACAUGCAAGUCGAGCGGUAAGGCCCUUUCGGGGUACACGAGCGGCGAACGGGUGAGUAACACGUGGGUGACCUGCCCUCAGCUCUGGGAUAAGCCUGGGAAACUGGGUCUAAUACUGGAUAUGACUCCACGGUGCAUGUCGUGGGGUGGAAAGCCUUGUGCGGCUGAGGAUGGGCCCGCGGCCUAUCAGCUUGUUGGUGGGGUGANGGCCUACCAAGGCGACGACGGGUAGCCGGCCUGAGAGGGCGACCGGCCACACUGGGACUGAGACACGGCCCAGACUCCUACGGGAGGCAGCAGUGGGGAAUCUUGCGCAAUGGGCGAAAGCCUGACGCAGCGACGCCGCGUGAGGGAUGACGGCCUU